ACGAACGCUGGCGGCGUGCUUAACCCAUGCAAGUCGCACGGAAAGGCCCCGCUUUUGUGGGGUGCUCGAGUGGCGAACGGGUGAGUAACACGUGAGUAACCUGCCCUUGACUUUGGGAUAACUUCAGGAAACUGGGGCUAAUACCGGAUAGGAGCUCCUGCUGCAUGGUGGGGGUUGGAAAGUUUCGGCGGUUGGGGAUGGACUCGCGGCUUAUCAGCUUGUUGGUGGGGUAGUGGCUUACCAAGGCUUUGACGGGUAGCCGGCCUGAGAGGGUGACCGGCCACAUUGGGACUGAGAUACGGCCCAGACUCCUACGGGAGGCAGCAGUGGGGAAUAUUGCACAAUGGGCGGAAGCCUGAUGCAGCAACGCCGCGUGCGGGAUGACGGCCUUCGGGUUGUAAACCGCUUUCGCCUGUGACGAAGCGUGAGUGACGGUAAUGGGUAAAGAAGCACCGGCUAACUACGUG
rnacentral:rRNA from 1 species